rnacentral:sRNA from 1 species
GUUUCAAUUCCUCAUAGGCAGGCUAUCGGCGGAGUCCGUACGGCUGGGCGUUCCGGCUCCGGUACCG